rnacentral:rRNA from 1 species
AGGGAACCGCCUGAACUGAAACAUCUAAGUAGGGCGAGGAAGAGACAUCAAACGAGAUUCCGUAAGUAGUGGCGAGCGAACGCGGAAGAGGGCAAACCGGAAGUAGAAAUACUUCCGGGGUACGGACUGCUUUUAGGACUUAAUCUGUUAACCGAACGGCAUGGGAAGGCCGGUCAGAGAGUGUGAGAACCACGUAGGUGAAAACGGAGAGAGCUGCGCAGGAUCCAGAGUACGGCCAGACACGUGAAACCUGGUCGGAAUACGGGGGGACCACCCUCCAACCCUAAAUACUACCCAGUGACCGAUAGCGUAUAGUACUGUGAAGGAAAGGUGAAAAGCACCCCGGGAGG